rnacentral:lncRNA from 1 species
UAAAACUCUGUCCCAGAAGACUGGAUAAAGAGAUUCUUCUGCUACCUUGAAUAAGCAAGCUGCUGUAUUAUCGUGAGAGGGCCACAUGGCAAGAAACUCUAGGAGGUGGGAGCAGUCCCUGGUCAACAGCCAGCAAGAAAGCGGGGACCUCAGUCCUACAACCACAAGACACUGAAUUCUGCCAACAAACAUAUGAUCUUGGAUAAGGACCUGGAGACUCAGAUGAGAUCAUAGCCUUGGCCAACACCUCCAUCAAAGUCUUGUCAGAGGGGCUGGCGUGGUGGCACAGUGGUUAAGUUUGCACGUUCCAUUUCGGCAGCCCGGGGUUCGUCGGUUCGGAUCCUGGGCGCCGACAUGGCACCGCUCAUCAAGCCAUGCUGAGGCGGCAUCCCACAUAGCACAGCCAGAAGGACCUACAACUAAGAAUAUACAACUAUGUACCGGGUGGCUUUGGGGAGAAAAAAGAAAAAUAAAAUCUUUAAAAUCCUGCAAGCAACAUUCCCCAAACUCCCUUAUUAGCUGGCUUUCUGUUGGAUUCUGCUGACGGAAAGUAGUGAUGGAAGAUUUGAAGGCAGGGGAGAAGUCUUGUUUUUCACUUUUGGAGGAGGUCUCUGACAACACCACCAUCAGAGGAAUUAACUGAGGUUCCAUGGCACUAGAGCUACCUGGAAGUCACAAAAUGGAAGCACCUGGAUCCCGGAGUCAUCACUUGCAAGACAAUGGUCCAGGAGAGCUGCCCAAACAAGAAUGUCUGCACAGCACUUUGAAGGAGGAAGAAAGAAGCCUUAUUGCGUGAAGCCCCUGAGGUUACCCGCUCUCACGAAUGCAUUUGCCUUUGCAGUUUUACAGCUCCCUUUAAUAGAGACCUACCAAGACUAUGUAAAGCUGUUCUGUUUAGCCCCAGUCUUGACAGUUCUGCUAUCUCCCAUCAUUCCUACCUCUGGGUCUCAAAGUAGGUGCCGCCCUUUGACUCACCAAGCUCUUCAGCUUGUUCUCUACUUUCCUGGACAUCCUUCCCAGGAGAAGGAAGGCAACCCUGACCCCAUUUCUUUGUGGAAGAAUCUUAAUCUCAGUGUUUGCUAAUCCACUCUUGGGCUGCAAAGGACUCCUCAGAAUUCUUCCCAGAAAGCUUAGGACUCAUAUAGAAAUAAAACAUCCAAUAGGUUGUUGUGACAUUUCUGGGAAUUAAGUCAGUAUGCAUUAAGUGUGAUCCUAUGCUACCCACUUAUUGUUCUUUAUUUUACAGUAAUUAAUUGAGUGCAUGGUCAUUGUUUUUCAUCACUACCAGGCCAAAAAUAAUUAGCGAUAGCUUGAGAGUGGGAAUUCUGAGUUAUUCAUCUUUAUAGCUCCAAUAAUGCCCACCACGUUACCUUGUAGACUGAAGCACUCAGUGACUGUUGAAUUUAAUAGGUGCACAUGGCAGGAGUUUUGUCAACAGACCCAUGACCUCACUGAUUCAACCCAUCUCCUCCAGCCUACCAAUAUGUGAAUGCACAGAGGGGCUGAUGCAGGAGCCACCUGUGUACUCUGGGAGAAAAGAUUUUUUUCUAAACCCUUGCCUAGACUUCAGUAUGAAAUUUUCAGUCACCUCGAUUGUGAUGUAAUUUACACACAAUAAAAUGCGUAAGUAUUAAGUUUAGAGUCUGAUGAGUUUUGACAAAUACGAGCAGCCUCGAAAUUACGACACCAAUCAAGAUAUAAAACAUUUCCACUACACCAGAAAGUUCCCUUCGUCCCUUUCAAGUCAAUCCCCCUUCACCAUUGCCAUCCCUGUUGCCCUGGGGAACUACCGAUCUUAUUUCUAUCACCG